rnacentral:rRNA from 1 species
AUGAGGAAAGGAUUAUUCGCCAACAAGGAUGAAUAUCUCUUCUUUGGAGAAGAAAAUAGGCUGAAAAUGUUUCAGCCAAAUACAUUCAAUUUUAAGCCGAAAUCCCUUAUUAAGCUCGAUGAAGCUCAAAGAUGCAUAUUGGAUAACUUUUGGUUCCAUUAUACUCGCAAAAGAGAGGAACAAGGAUAUUUUUUAUCAAUUCUCAAUAGUUUGGCUGAAUAUUUUAAUGAAUUAAACAAAAAUGUGCCAAAGCCAGCAAAAGUUGAAAUACCAAAAGGAGAAACUCUAUAUCUUAUAUUUGAUGGAAACAAACCAGGCAUAUAUUUGGAAUGGGAGAAUAUUAUGAUUGAAAAAUUAGAUGCAAAAAGAAAUGGACAAGAUUUAACAUUCAAAAGAUAUUACAGUAUAGAUGAGGCCUUACUUUGGGCAAGGAAGGUAUUAAGACCAGAUUAUUAUAUUGACCCAAAGGCUAAAAACUAUAUCCAAAUGAAAAGAGGCAUACCUGCUUCACCAACUCCCAUAAAGGGGGAGGCAUCAAGCUCAAACAAUAUAAAGAAAGAAGAAUCCCCAAAAUAUAAGACAUAUCAAGAAUGCCUUCUAAAGGGGCUUGACCCUUUAGACAGUGAAUACAUAGAUCAAGAAAUGGAUAAAAGGUUUGAAGAAUUUUCAAAAAUAAUAAAGAAAGAAUUAAAGGAGGAAAUAUUAAAAGAAUUAAGGCAAGAAAUGGAUGAAAAAUUUGAAGAAAUAAUGAAAGAAUGUGAUGAAAAAUAUGAUUUCAAUCUGUUAAAUGAUGAUGAUCAUAUGGACACAGCAGGGCAUGGGCAGCGUCCUGAAUAA